rnacentral:rRNA from 1 species
AUGCAUACAGGUUGUUGUGGAACAGUGUAUCAUGCUCUGUGGCAUGGCUCGGACGUGGCAGCUAAAGUAUUCUCCAAGCAGGAAUAUUCAGAAGAAAUGAUAAAUACCUUCAGACAAGAGGUAUCAUUGAUGAAGAAACUACGACAUCCCAAUAUCAUACUUUUCAUGGGUGCAGUUCUGUCGCAGCAACGACUUUGUAUUGUUACUGAAUUUCUCCCACGCGGGAGUUUGUUCCGGUUGCUCCGAACUAACAUUGGCAAGCUGGAUCCAAGACGGAGAGUUAACAUGGCUAUAGACAUUGCAAGGGGCAUGAACUAUCUUCACAAUUCCAUUCCCACUGUUGUGCACCGUGAUUUGAAAUCGCCAAACCUGCUGGUUGAUAAGAAUUGGACUGUAAAGGUUGCAGACUUUGGUCUUUCACGUCUGAAACUCGAAACAUUUCUGACAACAAAAACUGGAAAGGGAACACCGCAGUGGAUGGCUCCAGAGGUGCUACGAAGUGAACCUUCAAAUGAAAAGUCUGAUGUAUUCAGUUAUGGAGUUGUCCUGUGGGAGCUUGUUACUCAGAAGAUUCCCUGGGAUACUCACAAUACAAUGCAGGUCAUCGGAGCCGUAGGCUUUAUGGAUCACAGACUGGAAAUUCCAAGGGAUGUGGAUCCUCAGUGGGCAUCGAUGAUCCAGAGCUGUUGGGACAGUGAUCCACAACACCGCCCUUCGUUCCAAGAACUCCUUGAGAGGCUCCGGGAGCUGCAAAAGCAGUACAACGUUCAGGCGCAAACCAAGCGGAAAGAGGCUGGGAAAGUUGCUGGAAAUAUGAGCGUCAAAGAAAGCUAG